GGGAGGGUCUGACAGCUUUUCUGAGACAAAUAAGAAUGGUGGGGAGAGGAGAAUGAGGGCAGAGGUUUGAUCAUUGCUACUCUUUUCUUCUUUUGUUUUCUUCCAUUCUCUUUUUUAACUCAUCUCUCCACUUUCCUUUCAUCCAUACCCCCUUUGGCCAUUCUCGCCUGCCUUCUCUUUCCCUGCCCUUACUGUUUCCCUAAGACUGCCUCAGUCCUUUCUGUCUCUGGGAAUGAUUGGUCCCUUCCAUCCAGACCUCAGAGAGGUUGGUAAAGACCUUCUGGGUCAGGCAGAAGAGCGAAGUUUUAAGUCUGGCUAGCUUUUUCAUGAAAAACUAGGCUGCUUAAGGUGAGUUCCUGCUGUGACAAUGAGUGACUGCAUAUCCAGGGUUGGGGUUGGGGGCACAGCUGUUGCAGGGGCAAGAGACAGGGCAACCCGGGAUCCCAGAGUUGUGUCUGUUUGUGACUUUCUCAUUGAUUCCCUCUGUGGCCUCGGGAAAUUCUCUUCCCCAUUCUGCCUCUCGGCCCAAUGGGAGGAGGGCACCCUAGGGUGCUAAAAGGCCCUGCAGUGCCCAGUGCUAUUCUUUGGCUCUCUGGGCAUGCACAGUCCAGAAUAUAAACCCAACACCGGGCACAGGUUACUCAAAGACCCCCCCCGGGAAGAGAAGUGGACAGAGAAACAAAGAGAACAGAGAUGCCACUGGCCCUGGCAGCAGCGAGGACUACAACAGGAUCAGCAGCAGCAGAAGUGACAGCAACAAGGACAGCGAAUGAACUGAGAAUGUCAAUCCCAAAUUGGGGCUUGGACUGAAGGACGGCGAUUGGGGUAGGUGAGGGUGGAGGGUGGGUGCGCAGAGGAGUGUUGUGUGACCACAGGACACGAGAGGGCUGAAUUUGGUCAGACCCUCUGGAUUCCUAUUAGUAGAAGCGGACCUGUCCCUCCUUACCAGGCGAGGACAGUUCUGGCAGCUUCCCCUUCUUCUGCUCCACUGACCAGCCCAGCUCUCCUGGUCCUUCCUCUCCUAGCCCAGCAGGUCUUCUCCCCUAUCCCCCAGGAUCUCCUCUGGUCAAACUGGUUCUCUGCUAGUUCCCCCAACUUUGGGGCUGAAAAGGGAGAAUUACAGUAAAGCGGCACAAUAUGAACCUGACAAGCAGGUCAUUACCCCAAACUCCUGGAAAACAACUCUAAUAUUUAAGCAGGCAAUAGGCUCCUUAUCAGCCCAGUCCAGCCCUCACCUCAAUCAGGCUGCAGACUCUUUUGCAUUCAGACUCUCCUGUGUAUUUUUCUUCCCCACUCCACAGGCCGGUAAGACUGCUACCCGUUUCCCCUGAGCUGCGCCUAAGCAGUCUCCAUCCCUCGGCACGGCUGUCCAAAACCUGCCGAGUCCAUCAACUGAAGCAAGUGAAGCCAAGCCUCAGCUCCACGAGACCUAGCUGCUCUGACCAUCACGUAGGCAUAUUCCACAGGUGCCCGGCUGUUUUCUCCUUCAAACUGCUGGGUGAGCCGGAGAGGCGGUGCAGGCUCCUCUACUAGAGAUUGUUAAAAGCGGGUUAGACAGGCAUCUGCCAAUGGAUGGACUAGGUAUACUGGGUUUUGCCUUAAGAUGCGGCAAGAUGAUCUCUUGAGGCUCCUCCCAGCCCCGCAUUUCUGUGAUGCUCCAGUUCCCAGUUGCCUCCACAUACAGCCUGGGGAGGAAGCAGAGCCAUCCAGGGACUGCCAGCCUGACGGCAAAGUGCCCGAUACAGCUGGGAACUGGGAACCAAGCUGGUCAGCUGCAAGGAUUUGUACAGCACCCUCAAAAUACCUCGUAGGCUCUGUUGGAUGAUUCUGGAGGCCCCAGGUCCAAGCAAAUAUUAUUUGACAGAAGCACUGCUGUGAAUGCACCAGUUUGGCUGUGGCCAUUUGUUAGGGAGGAUGUCAUCACUGCAGGAGUUCACCACUCGUAGCCUAACUGGAGUGGCCAAGCAUCCUUUUUCAGAAGUACCUUGCUUGGGACUUAAUAUCCCAUGACCUGCAUGUUCCCAAGCAAGGAUCACAAAACAGAUGGGUGUCUGCACCAUGGUGGGGCAUAGCCUCCAAGAAAUAAAUAAGCAUCGUCCUGGGAUUUUCAUCGUUAUUUUUCCAUCUCCUCAGUUCAGAGGUGGCUAACAUGGGUCUGUUGGAUGCCUAUCUAUGGUGGCCAGGAUCUGGGAUUCAGGGCAGCUUUCUGCCUAUUUUUUGAAAGAACAUGAAUCUCCUCUGGAUGAUUGUUCAGGGGGCUCCUGAUACCUGCAGACAGUCCCUGGUGUCUUACCUUCCUGACGGCAGAGAGGAAACACCAAGCCACUUAGAGCACCUGUUUGCAGCCUCCCUUCCCGGCACACGUGACUGCUGCUGCAUCUACCUCGUCAGAGCUGUUGGUUAAACACAAUAUGAACAAUUUGAGAGCCCUUCCCAGACGAACCGGAGAGCAGCCAGCUCAUGCUCCAGCAUCCUCCCCUCCCCACAGCAUGGCUUCCCUUCUCCAAACCCACCCGGACUGACUGACCACCAUGAUCAUCGUACAGCUGGGGUGCAGACCCCCAAGCAAGCAUUAAUACACAAGCCCAUAAUGUGCCGGUGGGAACAUUGACCUUACACCGACGCAUGCCAGCAACAGAACCCGCUGGGAAAAAAACCUAUGCAGCCUCCAUACACAAUGCACCCUCCAAGGACGUCUCUCAAGGAUUUCCUUCUCCGCACGCUGAGUUGGACAGAACCGAAUUUCCUGGUCAUCUGUCCAGCCACAUUUCCCAGAAUUGCACAAGGGCUCAGUGUCAAGUAGGAUGCCCAGGAAGGGUUAAUUUGUCCAAGGCAGCCUCUUGCACAAGUGGUUUGCAAGGGUGCCCUCAGGGGUAAGAGCAGCCAAUUAAAAUUUGCCCUGAUGAAGUCAUGCUGGUAAAUGGAUACCCUGCCGGGGCAGGACGGUGGGUGGAGUGUCGGUCGAACCCACAGAACCAGAAGUCACCCUCCCCAGUUUGCGCAGGCAGUUUCAAUUAAGCUCAAAGGAAUUGCACCUUUAAGUUUAAUACAAUUAGCAGAUCUUUGUCUAGCUUGACUGUGGACUUAUAAUAACUUUGAUCCCUGUGUGAAAGGCCCUUCUAAUAAUACCUCGCUCUUACAUAAUGCUCUGCAUUGGUGGAUCUUGCAGUGCUUUACAAAGGAAGUCAGUUUAACACUCCCCAUUUUACACACGGGGAAACCGAGGCACAGAGAAGGAUGAGUUUGUCCAAACUCACUCAGCUGGUCAGCGGCAGUGCGCAGGUCUUCUGCAUCCCUGGCCACUUUCUUCCUUGGUUUCCACGGACCAAGGAUUUGAGUGGUGUGUGGUACCAGGGGUCCUCAACAUGGAAUCACAUUUUAAUUGAGCGAUUACCUUCUGGAUACCUGCCUUCAGUCCACCAGACCACUGUAUGAGCUAGACCGCUUGCUUACAUGGAAAAGUCACAUUAGGAAAGUAGGCGAUGUAUUUUUAACCAUCUGUAAUGCAAUUCAGCAGCUGGAAACAAGGAAGAAAGCCAGCGCCAUGCAACCAGCCAGAUCUCGGCUGUCCACAAGCAAGUAAUCCAUGGACAAUCUGGGGACCCUUGUAUACCAGCAUUUUUGAUGUAGCAAGAGAUCGUGUAUUGAGAAAGAGUAGCCAAGAGCCUUGUACCAGAGGCAGCUGCAUGAAAGCCUAAGCAUGGAGUAAAAGAGCAGUCCUUGACUUGAACCCCGUAGGAAGGCUGACAACCCCAGUGGCACCAGACAUGACAAAAACAUCCCUUAAACCAAUGUACUGCUUAUGCCUGCAAAUACCCAGGGCUGUAGGUGAGCUGACUUCCAGGCAAGCUUGGCACAUGGGGCUGGAAUGCUUUUGAAAAGCUUUCCAAGGGGGUAGGGGGGUCACAGAAAGCCCUGCUAGGAGCUGAGCUGUUUAGAAAGUCUGGCCCUGACUGGGUGCUUAUCCACAUGAAAUUCUGCCCUCCCAGCUACAUUUUCAAACGCGGGUUCCUGUUGUGCCUGCAAAUGCCUCACUUUGUGCAUAAAUUGGGUAACUCUGCACCUACAGUCUCAUUUGCAUGUGCAGUUUCCCAAUUUGUGCACAGAAAAGCCUGUUUCCACAUGCAGCUGCAGGGGGUGGGUGUGAUGGAUGUGUGUGCAAAUUUUGCAAGCACAAGGGAGGCCCUUGCUUUUGAGAACAUAGCUGCUAAUAUUUCGCUGUGACUGUAGGAGCAGUGAGCAGCCUCUCACAUGCAUUUUUCUUGCGACUAUCAGCCAUUUCCAGAGAGCCAAUCUUUGCUUUUGUUGUAACCUUUGAAGUUACAGUUUGACUCUCACAUUGUCAUCACCGAUCUUAAAUGCCGAGUCCAUCAGUCAAUGGCUGAAGUGGGUGGCAGAGGACAGGGGAUGCCUGGGAUGUGUUGAUGUAGUCUCCAUCAUUCUCACUGAAUGCACUUCUGAAAAGCACUUGAAAUACUGUGAUGGGGGUGGGACAAGAGUCUAUAUAAAACAGGACAUAAUUCUGGGACAUGUGCUUAUCCUGCUGUCAGCGUUCCUCAAGCAAGACACUACUUUGUUAGUCACUGGGAGGGUCUUGCGAGUGAAAUCAUCAGGUAUUGCACCUUCGCAAGCUACGUGGGGUCCAGCCAGGUCUCCCAGGUAGACACCAGGUUGUUAGGGCUGUGCUACAAUAACUGAGUACUUGGGAGUUUCUGUCUCGUUGCCCAAUACGUUUUGCACCCCAGUUCUUUGCACAAUUUGUUGUCAAGAACAGUCUGAUCUUGUUGAAUGAAUAUUUAGGCUCAGGAUUGUUGCAUACAGGAGAAGCUCCCAGGUCAAGAAAGUCCAGAGAUUGAUUGAAACAUGUAAUAAAAGGCAGCUUCCAUGAGAUGGUAGAAAUUCUUCACUUUGGGAGCCGCAGAGUCAAAUCAAAGACUGGAAAUAAAGGGGACGUGCUCAUA